UUCCACCAAGUCCCUCCAGUUUCUGAUAUACGUCCUUUCCAGAUCCAUAUACCAUUCCAAGGAUGCCCCAGCUAGGCUAUCUUGGAAAAAAUGCAUUAACAACCUCUCAUCUUCAGAAUAAGCAGACAUCUCGCAAUAAUAAGCUCUGACAUGUGUCUUUGGGCGAGUUGUAUCAGUAUAUUUGUCGAAGACAGGAACUUUGAACUUAGGUGGAACCCUUACCCCUGGAACCAGUCCCAGGUCAGUAACGUCCAUCCCUAAAACACCUUGUCCUC
rnacentral:lncRNA from 1 species